rnacentral:tRNA from 1 species
CAGGGUAUAGUUUAAUUGGUUAAAACCCUAGUUUGUGGCACUAGAGCUGUAAGUUCAAGUCUUACUACCCGCC